rnacentral:rRNA from 1 species
UACGUAGGGGGCAAGCGUUGUCCGGAUUUAUUGGGCGUAAAGAGCGUGUAGGCGGCUUGGUAGGUCCGCUGUGAAAACUCGAGGCUCAACCUCGAGAUGUCGGCGGAAACCACUUGGCUAGAGUCCGGAAGAGGAGAGUGGAAUUCCUGGUGUAGCGGUGAAAUGCGCAGAUAUCAGGAAGAACACCCGUGGCUAAGGCGGCUCUCUAGUACGGUACUGACGCUGAGACGCGAAAGCGUGGGGAGCGAACAGG